UGGCCCCCCGCGCGGCCCGUCGCCCGGCGCCGCGGCGGGAAAAUCCGACUGGGCCUUCCCGGCCGCCGCCUUUUUCUGUCAUCGCGGGCCUGCCAGGAUCCGCUCGCGGUGAUGAUGGAGGAGGAGAAGGGGGCCGAGGAGCAGCAGCGAUUCUCUUACCAACAGAGGCUAAAGGCAGCGGUUCACUACACUGUUGGCCAUCUUUGUGAGGAAGUUGCGUCGGACAAAGAGAUGCAGUUCAGCAAACAAACCAUUGCCGCGAUUUCGGAGGUGACUUUUCAACAGUGCGAAAAUUUUGCCAGAGACCUUGAAAUGUUUGCAAGACAUGCGAAAAGAAGCACCAUUAACACUGAAGAUGUGAAGCUCUUAGCCAGGAGGAGUAAUUCACUGCUAAAAUACAUCACAGAGAAAAAUGAAGACAUCGCUCAGUUUAACCUGGAACGAAAAGCAAAGAAGAAAAAGAAGUUAGAGGAUGAAAACAAAAAUUCAGUGGAGCCAGCAGAGGCUGGUGUAGUGGAAAGUGAGAAUUAAAGUCUGUCGCCGUUUGGAAAAAGCAGCCUUCAGGUAGAGCCACUAAAAACACGUAUUGCCAACAAAGGGUUUUGAAAGGCAUAUGCAGGAAGUGGCAGAAAUAAAGAAGAACAGCCUGUUGACUUUCCUUGCGUGGUGGUGUGAGUGGGCCUCCCAGGACAGGGCAGUGUCCUUUGUAGGAGGGGAAGCCAGGGAGGUGUCCAAACGGCAGUAAGUCCUGCCCCUCCAACAGUCCACGCGCCGAGAUAAAACGCCCUGCAAGAAUUUCUUCUGGAAGACCUUCUCCUCCUGCAAAUAAAACCGCACCCAUAAUUACUCAUGCAAAGAAGUGUAACGAUGGAUCUGAAUAAAAUGUAUUAAUCAGCCGU